UACGUAGGGUGCAAGCGUUGUCCGGAAUUAUUGGGCGUAAAGAGCUCGUAGGCGGUUUGUCGCGUCUGCUGUGAAAACUUGGGGCUUAACCCCGGGCCUGCAGUGGGUACGGGCAGACUAGAGUGCGGUAGGGGAGACUGGAAUUCCUGGUGUAGCGGUGAAAUGCGCAGAUAUCAGGAGGAACACCAGUGGCGAAGGCGGUGGUCUGGGCCGGUACUGACGCUGUAGAGCGAAAGCGUGGGGAGCGAACAGG
rnacentral:rRNA from 1 species